UGGUAAGAAUAUGUAUCAAUACUUUGCAAGACCUAUAUAACAGAUACAGUGUGAGAAGUAAUAGAGGCAGGAAAAUGAAAGACGCUUGUUCCCAAGGGAGACUCCAAGACUUUGUUUUUACACAGAAUG
rnacentral:sRNA from 1 species